GGGGUUCCUAGCCCCGGUGCCAUCGGAUUCGAGUUGCAACUGACCACCACCGGUCCUAAGGAUCUGCACUCAUACUCCUUCAUGAGCACCUUGUUCCGGAAGUAGAGGCUGUUCCCAAAGCGGAACUUGAACUUGCAUUGGGCCCUGGCGUUCCUGAGCUCCUUCACCUCCAAAUCCAUCAGGUGGCAGAGCAUGUCUUCAUCACGAGUUAUGAUCAUGGGUGACAGCUGCGGGUGGUUCAGAAAGGCGGUGACCCAGAAGCCAGGAAUAUUCUGGACGACGAAACUCCUACGGCCCAGAUGCAGACGGCGGAUGCGCCCAAACCUGCGCUGCAGCCGCAGGGAAUGUGCUUGGAUAGGAUGAGCCUGGAUGAACCAGCCAUGCAGCCCUGCAAAUGCAUCUGUGCUCCUGUGGUCUUGGCUCCCAACCUUGUCGCCUAUGGAGGUCAGCACACCUAAUGCCCCCUCUGCCUGGAAGUCCCGGCCACCUCCUCCAGAGAGCCUUCCGCCUGCUCCUGCCCAAUGAACAAGAUGGCUCUGAGCUCUUGGACCCACUGUGAGGUGGGUUCCCUUGGGGCCCCGGCCAGGGAUCUGAACGCACUGGGGUCAACACUGAAUGUUUAUGAAGUAGAUGGAAGGCCAAAGAGAUGAAGGGCCAGCCCACUGCCUUUGUACACAAAACACCUGUUACACACAUUAACACUUGUUUACUGUCCCACGGACUCCUGGACUGGACUCAGGAGUGACUACACUGCGUGGCUAUGGACACUGGCUCUAGACCACAGAAAAGCAAACUCAAUCUUAGUCCUGGACGGGAGGAUCUCAGGAAGAGCUACAGGGCCCAGGAUGGUGAUGACUACCUUUGUUAGAGACUGGCCAAGCGGCAAAGUCUGAAGCUAUGUCAGUCUCCCAACAGUUUGUUUGAACCCAGUGGGUAGGCCCAAGUGUGAGCAAGGUCAGGUCCUAGCUGUCACUUCCCAGCUGUGCCCCCUGGGCAAUGGAUGCCAUGUCUUUCCUUGGACAACCAGCAUUCGUUCCCCACCCUAACUGUAGCCCCAGUUUCCUUUGAGAAACCACCCCUUCUGUCUCACUCAGCCUUGUCAUCGCUGGCUGGUUUGGGGGAGGGCACAGAGCCCUAUCAAGGCCAGUGAGACAGGAGAUGCCUCGUGGGGCUUUGUGAAUACAAGCUCUCCUUUCUCUCCCUGGUCAGCACUGUGUGAGGAUGACAGGGAUGGAACUUCUACACAAAGGGACGAGCCACUUUGUAGGGCCUGAGGAUAAGUCACAGCUACAGAAGAUAGAGCCAAGAGACACAGGAAUGCUAAGGCCAACCAUGUUUGAGUGACUGAACCAAUUCUAAAAACUCUGCUACAUCUGGCAUUUUUAGUUAUGUGAAAUUUCAUUAAGCCAAUUUGAUUUUUCUGACCCUUGCAUCCAAGUUUAAGUGAUAAUAUGAUGCCGCUUACCUCAAAGACAUCCCAUUAAGAUCUUUAAUUUUAAAGUACAAAGUCUGUAGGUGCUAAUGUUAAGGGUUUGUUACUGUGUACCCUACCCUCACCAUCUCCUUGGAGGCUAGAGAUGUCUGGAGUUUCUGGUUCCCCAGGCUCUCUUCAACCCUUUCCCAAUCAGACAGGUUCACAACUUCCAAACACAUCAUUCAGAAGUUUUUAAUAAACAACUUCAUUAUAAAAACUUUUUUUGAAAAUGUAAUUCUGUAAAACAUUGAAAAAUCUACUUUAACAAAGAUACGCCCUGUGCAUUAUCUAAUGGCACUUAUACUUUACAAUUAAAAACUUGUUUUAUAUAAAGCCAAAAAUACUCCAAGAGGUUAUUCACUGUGUUUACAAAGUGCUAGAAGGCUUUUGUCUUGUAUUUUUACUCUCUUUAAAUAAUCUGGCAAUACGAAAGAGUGGCUCCAAAGCCUUGAUCACUGGGAGGGAGGGAGGCGAAUGAGAAGUGGUGUUUCAGGAGUUCUGGUGCCAAGUAGUCAGAGGUGGAGGGGGCAGCUACGGAAGUGAGCAUGCAUCUGAAGAAACUGGGCUGGGAUACUUCUUCCAAACCCCUCCACAGAGGCACUACAUCAUCAUGGUGAAUCCUUCUCCUGUUAGAACCGGAACACCCCUUCCCUUGCUGCAGACCCUACUCCAGUGGUGAAGGUCAUAGCCAAUUCCUUCCACAGCAGGUUCAGAGCUCCAGGAGAGGCCAGGGUGGGGUCCCAGAGGAAUCUGGACUUUUCUGGCCAACACCUGCCUAAGGCAAAGUUUCUUAUUACAUAAAUAUCCUUGUUAAAAAGCAAAAUAUUGAUCCUGUACAAUAUAAACUGUUAAAAAAAAAAUCGUGCUUAAAAACAGCUCCUAGAUAAGAGGGGAGGUAGAGGGAAUGGGGAAAACAGCUACCAAAAAGAAAGAGGCGGGGCAGGGAUUCAGACUACUAGGGGUAGUUUAGGGCAGUGGGAGAAUUUCAACUUAGGACAAUAUCUACGAGCAAAAAAGUAAUCACACCUGCUUCCCGGAUUUCCAUUAAAUGCCAUUUGUAAAAGGUUGGGGGGUAAACUCAUUGGUGCUCCUUUCCCCCUCUCCCCUCUUUAGGAUGUGCACAGAUCCUCUGAGCUGACACGGCUGGGCAGAUCAUCCCCUGGCCCCCAGGACUGC
rnacentral:lncRNA from 1 species